GGCCCAGCCCCGCCGGGAGCGUCCGGGAGCCCCGAGCAGCAGCGGCCGCUUCGCCCUCGUCCGUGCAGGGAGCAGCGGGCACCGAGCGGCAGGAGGUGCAGGAGGAGAAAGUGGAGGCCUCCAUGGUGUGUGGAAAAAAGCAUAAACCAAGAGUGAGCAGAGGAAGCCUGGAUGAGUGAAGUGGAGCAGGAGGUGCUGGAGAAGAAAGAGGAAGCAUCCAUGGUGUGUUGAAGGAAGCAGGAAGCAAGAGCAAGCAGAGGAUGUGAGGAAGCCUGGAUGACUGAAGUGGAGGUAAGAGGCUCUCUGGUAAA